GACGAACGCUGGCGGCGUGCUUAACACAUGCAAGUCGAACGGAAAGGCCCUGCUUUUGUGGGGUGCUCGAGUGUCGAACGGGUGAGUAACACGUGAGUAACCUGCCCUUGACUUUGGGAUAACUUCAGGAAACUGUGGCUAAUACCGGAUAGGAGCUCCGGCUGCAUGGUGGGGGUUGGAGAGUUUCGGCGGUUGGGGAUGGACUCGCGGCUUAUCAGCUUGUUGGUGGGGUAGUGGCUUACCAAGGCUUUGACGGGUAGCCGGCCUGAGAGGGUGACCGGCCACAUUGGGACUGAGAUACGGCCCAGACUCCUACGGGAGGCAGCAGUGGGGAAUAUUGCACAAUGGGCGGAAGCCUGAUGCAGCAACGCCGCGUGCGGGAUGACGGCCUUCGGGUUGUAAACCGCUUUCGCCUGUGACGAAGCGUGAGUGACGGUAAUGGGUAAAGAAGCACCGGCUAACUACGUG
rnacentral:rRNA from 1 species